CCUACGGGUGGCUGCAGUGAGGAAUAUUGGUCAAUGGGCGCGAGCCUGAACCAGCCAAGUAGCGUGAAGGAUGACUGCCCUGCGGGUCGUAAACUUCUUUUAUAAAGGAAUAAAGUGUGGCACGCGUGCCUUUUUGUAUGUACCUUAUGAAUAAGCAUCGGCUAACUCCGUGCCAGCAGCCGCGGUAAUACGGAGGAUCCGAGCGUUAUCCGGAUUUAUGGGGUUUAAGGGGAGCGUAGAUGGGUUGUUAAGUCGGUUGUGAAAGUUCGCGGCUCAACCGUAACACUGCCAUUGAUACUGGCAGCCUUGAGUAGAGUUGAGGUAGGCGGAAUGCGUGGUGUAGCGGUGAAAUGCUUAGAUAUCACGAAGAACUCCGAUUGCGAAGGCAGCAUGCCAAACUGCCACUGACAUUGAUGCUCGAAAGUGUGGGUAUCAAACAGGAUUAGAUACCCGAGUAGUC
rnacentral:rRNA from 1 species